UGGCGAACGGGUGAGUAACGCGUGAGGAACCUGCCUCAAAGAGGGGGACAACAGUUGGAAACGACUGCUAAUACCGCAUAAGCCCACGGGUCGGCAUCGACCUGAGGGAAAAGGAGCAAUCCGCUUUGAGAUGGCCUCGCGUCCGAUUAGCUAGUCGGUGAGGUAACGGCCCACCAAGGCGACGAUCGGUAGCCGGACUGAGAGGUUGAACGGCCACAUUGGGACUGAGACACGGCCCAG
rnacentral:rRNA from 1 species